rnacentral:lncRNA from 1 species
GGGGAAGCCAGCUGCUACGUCAUAAGGACACUCAAGAAGCCCUAUAGAAGAGCUCACAUGGUAAAGAACUGAGGCCUUCUGCCAACAGCCAGUGAGGAACUAAGCCCUGCUGGCAGCUGCCAGAUGAGCAAGCCAUCUCGGAAGAAGACCCCCAGCCUGUUAAGCCUUCAGAUAACUGCAGCCCCAGCUGACACAAGAAACCAGAGUCAGAAUCACUCAGCAAGGCAUUCCUGAAUUUCUGACCCACAGAAAUUCUAAUCAGCUUCCUUCAAAUUGGAUUUCGUAGUGAUAUGGAUCUGUUCACAGUCUUAUGGAGGCUGAUGCUGGCAUUUG